rnacentral:rRNA from 1 species
UGAGUACGAGCUGCUACGGCAGCGAAGUGGGUGAUGUCAAGCUUCCAAGAAGAGCCCUAGACCCGUUAAGGCAUGACGGCCUGUACCCGAAACCGACACAGGUGGGGUGGUAGAGAAUACCGAGGGGCGCGAGAUAACUCUCUCUAAGGAACUCGGCAAAAUGGCCCCGUAACUUCGGGAGAAGGGGUGCCACCGCAAGGUGGUCGCAGUGAAGAGGCCCAGGCGACUGUUUACCAAAAACACAGGUCUCCGCUAAGUCGCAAGACGAUGUAUGGGGGCUGACGCCUGCCCAGUGCCGGAAGGUUAAGGAAGCUGGUCAGCGCAAGCGAAGCUAGCGACUGAAGCCCCGGUGAACGGCGGCCGUAACUAUAACGGUCCUAAGGUAGCGAAAUUCCUUGUCGGGUAAGUUCCGACCCGCACGAAAGGCGUAACGAUCUGGGCGCUGUCUCGGAGAGAGGCUCGGCGAAAUAGAAUUGUCUGUGAAGAUGCGGACUACGUGCACCCGGACAGAAAGACCCUAUGAAGCUUUACUGUAGCUUGGUAUUGUGCCCGGGCUCUGAAUGCGCAGGAUAGGUGGGAGGCUUUGAUCCAUGGCUUGCGGGUCAUGGUGAGCCAACGGUGAGAUACCACUCUUUCAGAGCUAGGGUUCUAACAGCCACCCGUUAUCCGGGGGCUGGACAGUAUCAGGUGGGCAGUUUGACUGGGGCGGUCGCCUCCUAAAAGGUAACGGAGGCGCGCAAAGGUUUGCUCAGGCUGGUUGGAAAUCAGCCGACGAGUGUAAAAGCAGAAGCAAGCUUGACUGUGAGACCAACAAGUCGAACAGGGACGAAAGUCGGCUUUAGUGAUCCGACGGUUCUGAGUGGAAGGGCCGUCGCUCAACGGAUAAAAGUUACUCUAGGAUAACAGGCUGAUCUCCCCCAAGAGUUCACAUCGACGGGGAGGUUUGGCACCUCGAUGUCGGCUCAUCGCAACCUGGGGCUGAAGUCGGUCCCAAGGGUUGGGCUGUUCGCCCAUUAAAGCGGUAAGCGAGCUGGGUUCAGAACGUCGUGAGACAGUUCGGUCCAUAUCCGGUGCAUGCGUAAGAACAUUGAGAGGAGUUCUCCCUAGUACGAGAGGACCGGGAGGAACGCACCUCUGGUGUACCAGUUAUCGUGCCAACGGUAAACGCUGGGUAGCCAUGUGCGGAGAGGAUAACCGCUGAAAGCAUCUAAGUGGGAAGCCCACCUCAAGAUGAGUGUUCUCAUGGCUUAAGCCAGUAAGGUCACGGGAAGAACACCCGUUGAUAGGCUCUACGUGGAAGCGCAGCAAUGUGUGAAGCGGAGGAGUACUAAUAGACCGAGGGCUUGACC